UACGUAGGGUCCGAGCGUUGUCCGGAAUUACUGGGCGUAAAGAGCUCGUAGGCGGUUUGUCGCGUUGUUCGUGAAAACUCACAGCUCAACUGUGGGCGUGCGGGCGAUACGGGCAGACUUGAGUACUGCAGGGGAGACUGGAAUUCCUGGUGUAGCGGUGGAAUGCGCAGAUAUCAGGAGGAACACCGGUGGCGAAGGCGGGUCUCUGGGCCGAUACUGACGCUGAGGAGCGAAAGCGUGGGGAGCGAACAGG
rnacentral:rRNA from 1 species